rnacentral:rRNA from 1 species
AGCGAACGCUGGCGGCAUGCCUAACACAUGCAAGUCGCACGGGGGGGCUUCGGCCUCCCAGUGGCGGACGGGUGAGGAACGCGUAGGGACCUGUCGAGGGGUGGGGGAUAACCGCGGGAAACUGCGGCUAAUACCGCAUGACGCCGCGGCGUGACAGCCGGGGCCAAAGGCGAAAGCCGCCCGCCGAGGGGCCUCCGUCCGAUUAGCUGGUUGGCGGGGUAGCGGCCCACCAAGGCGUCGAUCGGUAGCUGGUCUGAGAGGGUGAUCAGCCACACCGGGACUGAGGCACGGCCCGGACUCCUACGGGAGGCAGCAGUGGGGAAUAUUGGACAAUGGGCGCAAGCCUGAUCCAGCAAUGCCGCGUGGGUGAAGAAGGUCUUCGGAUUGUAAAGCCCUUUCGGCGGGGACGAUGGUGACGGUACCCGCAGAAGAAGCCCCGGCUAACUUCGUG